UACGUAGGGUGCGAGCGUUGUCCGGAAUUAUUGGGCGUAAAGAGCUCGUAGGCGGUGUGUCACGUCGGCCGUGAAAACCUGGGGCUUAACUCUGGGCGUGCGGUCGAUACGGGCAUCACUAGAGUUCGGCAGGGGAGACUGGAAUUCCUGGUGUAGCGGUGAAAUGCGUAGAUAUCUGGAGGAACACCGGUGGCGAAGGCGGCAUUCUGGACCGACAUUGACGCUGAGGAGCGAAAGCCAGGGAGCAACGGG
rnacentral:rRNA from 1 species